rnacentral:rRNA from 1 species
CUACGUGCCAGCAGCCGCGGUAAUACGGAGGGGGCAAGCGUUAUCCGGAAUUAUUGGGCGUAAAGGGUACGUAGGUGGCCUUUUAAGCGUAGGGUAUAAGGCAAUGGCUCAACCAUUGUUCGCCCUAUGAACUGGAAGGCUUGAGUGCAGGAGAGGAAAGCGGAAUUCCUAGUGUAGCGGUGGAAUGCAUAGAUAUUAGGAGGAACAUCAGCGGCGAAGGCGGCUUUCUGGACUGCAACUGACACUGAGGUACGAAAGCGUGGGGAGCAAACAGAAUUAGAUACCCUGGUAGUCCACGCCGUAAACGAUGAGCACUAGGUGUCGGGGUCGUAAGGCUUCGGUGCCGUAGUUAACGCAUUAAGUGCUCCGCCUGGGGAGUACGCACGCAAGUGUGAAACUCAAAGGAAUUGACGGGGACCCGCACAAGCAGCGGAGCAUGUGGUUUAAUUCGAAGCAACGCGAAGAACCUUACCAGGACUUGACAUCCUUCUGACCGGUCUU